CUUGACGAAUGCCUGGGUGGCCUGCGUUCGUAUGAACGAACACGCAACGGCGGCCAUUUUGUUUAUCCGAAAACGCUCAUCGGUGUUUGGUUGUCGAACUCCUGGAACUGUUUUCAGCUACCAGUUUCACGAACACCGCUGAGACUUCUACCUUUCGUGCGUUCGUCUAAAUUCAUACGAACGGGGCGCUAAUUUCAGGGAAUAAACUGUCGAACAUGCUGAAUACAAUGAAGCUAUGCACGAACUGAUCUGUUCGUGCAAAUUGUACUGUAUUUGAAGGUGAAGAUAGACCGACCGCACAGCCUAAAUCUAUAGAACUCUUUUGGGCAGGAAAGCCAUGCUUGCGGCCGG